GUGGAGAUUAUGCACAUGUGCCAUAAAUUUGAUGCAGAUACACGUUUGGUUGAGGGUCUUGUCCUUGAUCAUGGUUCUAGGCAUCCUGAUAUGAAGCGACGAGCAGAGAAUUGUUACAUCUUGACAGCCAAUGUAUCUCUGGAGUACGAGAAAAGUGAAGUGAACUCUGGAUUUUUCUAUUCAAAUGCGGAGCAGAGAGAAGCAAUGGUUUUAGCUUAAAGUCGUCAGGUUGACGAGAGAGUUAGAAAGAUUAUUGAGCUGAAAAAUAAGGUUUGUUCUGGUAAUGACA